AGUGAACGCUGGCGGUAGGCCUAACACAUGCAAGUCGAACGGCAGCACAGUAAGAGCUUGCUCUUACGGGUGGCGAGUGGCGGACGGGUGAGGAAUACAUCGGAAUCUACUUUUUCGUGGGGGAUAACGUAGGGAAACUUACGCUAAUACCGCAUACGACCUACGGGUGAAAGCAGGGGAUCUUCGGACCUUGCGCGAUUGAAUGAGCCGAUGUCGGAUUAGCUAGUUGGCGGGGUAAAGGCCCACCAAGGCGACGAUCCGUAGCUGGUCUGAGAGGAUGGAACAGCCACAUGGGAACGGAGCCAGGGCCGAGACCCCUGGGGGGGGGACCAGGGGGGAAUUUUGAACAAUGGGGGAAGGCUUGACCCGGCAAUCCGGGGGGGUGAAGGAGGGCGUUGGGGUGCUAAAGCCGUUUUGUGGGGAAAAAAAAAAAGCGGGUUAAUCCCCGGCUGUUAUGACGGUACCAAAAAAAUAAGCCCCGGCUAACUUCGUG
rnacentral:rRNA from 1 species